rnacentral:rRNA from 1 species
UACGAAGGAUCCAAGCGUUAUCCGGAUUCAUUGGGUUUAAAGGGUGCGUAGGCGGUUUUGUAAGUCAGUGGUGAAAUCUCCCGGCUCAACCGGGAAGCUGCCAUUGAUACUGCAGAACUAGAGUACAGAUGACGUUGGCGGAAUGUGUCAUGUAGCGGUGAAAUGCAUAGAGAUCCGGAGGAACCCCAGAGGCGAAGGCGGCGCCCUGGCUCGCAACUGACGCUCAGACACGACAGCAUGGGGAGCGAACGGG